GUUAAACACCUCAAACGUUUCAGACUAGUAAAUGAGUUUUUUAAAAUAAUCUGAAAUAAUCAAGAAAUUUCAUUUUUAGUACUUUUUCCCUAUGCUUUGAACAAUGUAAUGCCCCAACAUUGUUUUUUCUUGUUCCUAUUAUUGCAUGAAGUUCAAACUAGGUCCUCAAGACAGAACCUUUCUGUAAUAAAGAAAAAGUGCAAAGGUACAAAAUGAAAUGUAAAGUCUUUUGCAAGAAAAUGCUCCCUCAAGAGAACAGUUGUUUGGAUGCAGGUGGGAAAAAAGAUUUUUGUUCUCCAUUGUACAUCUGACACCUACAAAUGACCUUGUCUUCAAUGUCCAUACUAGUAAGUACAUAUUGGUCAUGGACCUUGCAAAAAAAAAUAAUCAAGUAGCAAAUUCCACUAAAAUAUUUGUAUCCAUUCUACACAGUCCAAUGGAAAUUAAUGAGUGCUAUUGAAAAAGGUUUUCACAUGCACAUGUCCAAUAUGUGCAUUGAAGGCUAAAAACUUAAAAUUCUAUUUCCAGUGUUUAUGAAUAGCUUCAGUAUCUACAUUCAUAACCAGCAUUCUGCAUGAGUUACCUCUUAAUACUUCACAAAUGAGUAAUAAUACAUCUUGGGAGGUUAGGAAGGUACCUGUUAAUAACUUUCUUUUAUGCUUAGAAUGUGAUGCAGUUGUUUUUAAACUAUUUAAAAUGAACACCCCUAUUAUAAUGGGACAUUUUAUACCAAGAGGAAAAUGAGUUUGUUUUUAGCCAAUCAGGACUACCCUGCAGAUCUGAAAACUGUAGAUUACACCCUUAGUAAAGGAUACAAGGAGGCUCACAAAUAUAAACAAAUCCUGACUUUUACAUGGACAAUUUUUUUAGAAAGAUAAAAUGUAUUACAUAAGCGCCAUAAACAGUAAAAUCUGCUUAUAUUAAAAA
rnacentral:lncRNA from 1 species